AGAAAGCUCCGGGAAAGGAAACUGAAAAUGACAAACAUAACAAAGACAAGGACAAAUGGAUAAAACUGUAAGUUUAAGGUGCUAAAUGAGUAGUAGAGAAAUACAUCAAUACGUUAUUACAGGUAGCAGCUGCAGUGAAACGGCUCCACAGUGCUGCAAAAGCUGACUUCCAGUCUCUGGGCUAUGAAAUGACACCGAUCCACUAAAACUGCAACUACACAAGAAAAUCAAACGCUUUUCCAUCUUUUGCUUUCAGUUAUUUGGGACAAAUGAAGCACGAGUGUCACUUCUGAUGGGCCUGGAUGCAGUAAGUAUUUCUUAGUGGGCGAGAGUUGGCCAGGCAGGUUUCUUCAGAGGCAGGAACACCAGGAUCUGUGAUUAAGGAGGGCAGAGCAGGAGCAUGGGGUGGCGGCCUGGAUCCCAUCCCAGCUGCAAUAGGGAGGAGCGUGGGAAGCCAGAAGAGCAGCGAGCACCGGGAGUGCAGACACACGGGAGCAGAGAGCACAAGGAGGACACAACACGGGAGUCUGGGGAAAGCACGGGGAUUUAUUGUUGUUUGGUUCCAUACACUGUAAAUA